UUGUUUUUCUGUUUCUGGGUUAGUUUGCUUAUGAUAAUGGCCUCUGGCUACAUCCAUGUUGCUGCAAAGGACAUGAUUCCAUUCUUUUUUUAUGGCUGUGUA